rfam:Candidatus Kerfeldbacteria bacterium RIFOXYB2_FTLL_38_14 rifoxyb2_full_scaffold_282, whole genome shotgun sequence.
GCGGGUAUCGUAUAAUGGUUAUUACAUCUGGUUGCCAAUCAGAUAACGGGGGUUCGAUUCUCCCUACCCGCU